ACCUUGCUGACGGGUGCCAAGUAGCACGAAACCCGGGUCCAAGGU
rnacentral:hammerhead_ribozyme from 1 species